rnacentral:rRNA from 1 species
UACGUAGGGUGCGAGCGUUGUCCGGAAUUAUUGGGCGUAAAGAGCGCGUAGGCGGUCUGUUGCGUCCGCUGUGAAAACUCGGGGCUUAACCCCGAGCCUGCAGUGGAUACGGGCAGACUAGAGGUAGGUAGGGGAGAAUGGAAUUCCCGGUGUAGCGGUGAAAUGCGUAGAUAUCUGGAGGAACACCGGUGGCGAAGGCGGCAUCCUGGACCGGUAUUGACGCUGAUGAGCGAAAGCCAGGGGAGCAAACGGG